rnacentral:lncRNA from 1 species
GGAGGACAGGACCUCAUUGCCAAUCUUGGUAUAUUCGAACUAAUGAAUAAUGAGGGUUUUCUCUAUUUAGACUGCUAGCACAACUAGAGGUAAGAAAAUGCUUCAGUUAUGUUUAAAUUGGGUUGCAAAUACAAGUAACAUACUCCUGAAAGAAAAAUUCUAAUUUUGAUGAAACCUUUAAUUUAUUCUCUAUCUCAUUUUCUUGUUGCAGCUUUACAUGAUGGUAGGUUGUGGCCAUUUUCAUGAUCUCCUUUUUUUCAGAUGAGGAACCUGAGGCACAGAAUAGGCAAAUGGCUUGUCCAAGAUAACACAGCAAGACAGUAAUGGAGAUGAGAUGAGAGUAACUGCUUGCGAUUAGCCCAAAUCCUUUUCCACCUGUACUUUGAAGCAAUGAAUGUCAGGCACCAAGUGAAACAGACAUCCCAAAUCCAGCAUAUGUCUGAUUCCAGAGUUGGUCUGUUCCAGGUCUUUUUUCUGUCUACUCAUUCCUCAAAUUCUGUCUCACAAAGAGCCCAAACUGGUUUGGCAAAUGCCAAAAUGUGCUUAGAGGAAUGAGGAGAAAUGGACAACAUUCUCUUAGCUGGAAGAAUAGAAACUUUUGAUGCUGUGGCGCUUUCUAGGAAGAUUGUCAGCAACAUCAGAGAGCACCCAUUCCAGAAAUGGCUUGCAGAAGUCAGCUCCACUUUUCCCAUCUGGAAACAUCCCACCCAUCACUGCUUCCCCACCCUCUCCUCAUGCCCUCAACUGCAGAUAACAUACUAGACAUUCUGCCGUGAAGACUCUGCUGGCCCAUAUGCAAGACUCUCUCUGCAUUCGCAGCUUAUCACAUAAUAUCAUUUCCUGCUCUUCACAAUCUUCUUUUCAAAUGCUUUAAGGCAGUACUUCAUCCUUUUUUCAGGCAUCUCCUUAGUGAACCAUGUAAGAUUAGCAUCUCAGUGAAUCUAAAUUCUCUUUUCUGCCCAGGCAGGUACUAGCAUGUGACACUGGGCAAGCAAUUUAUCCCUUGUAUGCGACAGUGUCCUACUCAGUGAACUAGAGGCAUGUGUGAGAGAGGCUGUUUUGCAAUAUGGUAGUUAGUACCAACAAAUGGAAUAAAAACACGAAAUAAUUUGGAAGAUAUAAAUUCACAUGUACGUGUGCCUAUGACAAUAAGAUAUGGCUCGUAAUUUUGUUGCCCAGAUUGAAAGAGUGGCCUAGUUUGUUGACCAAGCUGAUUUUAGUAUUUUCUUCAGCUCUGAACACUGACUUUAUUUUGUAGUGUAACCUUAGAAUAAGGUAGACAGUGAGAAGGGGGUUAAAGAAGAGAAGCAGCCAGCAGGUAAUGACUGAAGAAACCUGAAGCAUAUUCUACCUAUCAGGUGUGUUGAUGGUUUUGGCCAAGAAUUCACAUACAAGGAAGUCAGGUACAAAAUACCACAAUUUCUUUAGCUGCAGGCGGAGAGUUUAUGUCAGUUCCUUUUUUCCCCUGCUUUCAUCCAUAUGCA